GGGUGAGAAGGUUAAGUCACCAGGUGAGGAAUUUGACAAGGUGUUCACUGCUAUGUGUGAAGGGAAGCUCAUUGACCCUUUGUUGGAGUGCCUCAAAGAAUGGAAUGGUGCUCCUCUUCCCAUCUGCUAGAAGAACAAAUAUAAGCAUGAAUUACCCCGAUGUAAUCUUUUUGUAUUUUCCUGCAAACAAACUAUUAUUAUCUGAUGUAAAAGUGAACUGCUUUUUGGUUGUUAUUUCCUUUCUUUACCCAUUAAUGUGUAAACUAUCAGUGUAUCUUCUCUAAUUUUUGUUGGGAAUCCUUUUCUGUGUACUGGUUUCAAGACAAACGGAUGAAAUCUGUAUACGAAAGGAAAUAAUUAAGUCUUCUUGUUGCUUGAAAUUGGGGAUAAGUCAGAUUGAGGUUUCUGAGCGUACCGUAGAUUGAUGAACUGGAGCUCAGAAUUGUAGCUGGAAAAAAUGAAGUAACCAGCUCUGAUUCUGAGCGGAGGCCUUGAAUCUUCUGAAUACUUUUUAGAGCGGUUAAUUGAAAUCUGAGCGCAAUCGGAGAACAGAGAAGGGAUGAACCCUAAUUCCC
rnacentral:lncRNA from 1 species